AGUGAACGCUGGCGGUAGGCCUAACACAUGCAAGUCGAACGGCAGCACAGUAAGAGCUUGCUCUUACGGGUGGCGAGUGGCGGACGGGUGAGGAGUACAUCGGAAUCUACUUUUUCGUGGGGGAUAACGUAGGGCAACUUACGCUAAUACCGCAUACGACCUACGGGUGAAAGCAGGGGAUCUUCGGACCUUGCGCGAUUGAUUGAGCCGAUGUCGGAUUAGCUAGUUGGUAAGGUAACGGCUUACCAAGGCGACGAUGCGUAGCCGAUCUGAGAGGGUGAUCGGCCACACUGGAACUGAGACACGGUCCAGACUCCUACGGGAGGCAGCAGUAGGGAAUCUUCCGCAAUGGGCGAAAGCCUGACGGAGCAACGCCGCGUGAGUGAUGAAGGUCUUCGGAUCGUAAAACUCUGUUAUUAGGGAAGAACAAAUGUGUAAGUAACUAUGCACGUCUUGACGGUACCUAAUCAGAAAGCCACGGCUAACUACGUG
rnacentral:rRNA from 1 species